AUUCAAAAACCGUCUUCAGGCUGACAAACAAAGCCAUCGCGAAAGAGAAAGUUGAGAAUUAUGAGAAGGGGAAGUUCGACUUUGAGGGUGCUCAGGUGUUCAUGGUUCCUAUGGUAGGCCUAGUUAUCUGGAACUUAAUUUGUUUGAUAGGGGGCUUGUGGAGUGUUUUUGACAGGGGAAAUGCAAGUGAAAUGUUUGGACAACUUGUACUCUCAACUUUUCUUUUACUUGUUAGUUAUCCUAUUAUUGAAGGAAUUGUUACUAGGAAAGGUAAGGGAAAGAUGUGAGUGAAAGAAAACUGGAGAUUUAGAGACUCCACUGUAAUAAAUUUAGUGAUAUGGAAGUUUUGUAUCACAUAUUGAUUGAUCCGUUGUUAGUUAAAUCGGGUAUUGACCCAAUCUAUACUUUUUUAACGAUAAACUAUUAAAUAUUAUUACCGGAAAAAAUAAUCUCAAAUAUCACUUUGUAAUUCAAAACGAAAUAUGGCGUAGCGUGUAGCAUUCAUCCCUCUUUCAAUUCUUAAUGCGAGAUUGUAUAACGUUUUCAAGCUCUGAAACGUCAAAUCGUGUAACGUCUUGUAGUGAUUUUUAAUUUAAUCCCAACUCGAUGUAGCGUUUUUUUAUAAUAAUCAAAACGCUUCAAUGAAUCUCUAGCGUUAAUAAAUGAUACUUCAAACUAGGGUUGUGAAAAGGAUAAUUCGAAUACACAUAUGCCUAUAUCCGUAUCCAUAUCCGCAAUUGUCAGAUUCAGAUACAGAUAAUAUGUGCAGAUAAUAUGUGCUUUUCAGAUACGGAUAAUAUCCGCUUUUUUUUUUGGACAUGAAUGCGGAUAUUUCGGACGAAUGUUGGAUUUUUCUUAUCGACCAUACCGUUGUAUAUUUAUAUAUGUAUAAAGUAUUUGUACAAUUAUAUAAAAUUUAUAUAAAUGUAUUAUUUAAUACAUAUACACACACUGCAAGCUAAUAGAAUAAUUUUUUUAAUUAUAUGUUAUAUAAUUUAAAUAUCAUAUAUGUAUUUUAUUUCGGAUUCGAAUAUCACGAAUUCGAAUACGAAUAAUAUUCACUUUAUUUCGAAUACGGAUAAUAUCCGCUCUUUCUUAAAUAUGAAUGAAAAUUUUUCGAUUUUUUUGACAAUCCUACUUCAAACCAUCUUUAGAGGGGACUUGUAUUCUCUUGGUUACAGGUUCGACUUCCGAAGGGAGGAGAAUGUGUGAUUAUGACUCCUGGAUCAGAGCCUAUGUUGGGUCUUUUCUUCUGUACUAAUAAACAUAAAACUAACAAAUAUGCAAAUUUACGACCCAAGAAGACUAAAAGCAUGAAAAAACACAACUGAAGUGGCCAAGAGUCCAGGAGCUUCAGUUUUGCCUAAAGGUCUAAUUUUCGUGAUAUGUGUUAGUGUUAUAGAAGGUAAGUUCACAAAAAUUAAAUAAAAAUUAAUUUAUAGUACUUCUUGGGUGAUGAUUACGUGAAAAAAUCAUACAUUAUGGGUGAUCAUUUUAUAUAUACUAAAAUAAGAGGAGAAUGAAACACAUCCCUAAAUAAACUCUUAUAUUUUUGUAAUAAAUAUUGUCUGCACAAUCAUGUUGUUAAAGUAUAUAUGUUAUGUUUAAAAUUAGAUAUUAGAGUAAACCAAGGCUAUAGAAGGCCACCAUGAUUAUUUGCUCGAAGUGGGGAACAUUCUGCAGGGAUGCCCGGAAAUGCUCAAGGAUCGCAGCGAUGUGACGGUUAAGUUUGUUAAAAGGCAAGCGAACAAAGCAGCCCACCAGUUGGCUCGUUUUCCUUGUUCGUUAAAUUGCUACAAUGUUCUGUUGUCUCCUCCUACUAGUUUGUUGGAGACCCUUUUGUAUGACUCUUUACAUGCUUAAUGAAAUUGUUUCCGUGUGUUUCAAAAAAAAAAGUAGUCUAAGUGUGUGUUUGGGAAUGAGACUUCUGGGCUUAAAAGCCCAGAAGCCCAUUUCUUCUUUUUUAACCAACCGUUUGGCAAACAAACUGAAGCACUUAAAACUGUAAAAGAAGUCGGGGAAAAAAAAGCUACACAUCUUAGCUUUUAUAUGGAGCCAACUUAAACUUCUUCCGCUUCCUACUGCAUACUUCAUUCAGUGUUUGUGUUAUCUCCAACGAGAUCCUUGAAUAUAAUUUUUUUUUUCUAUUUAAACUCAUGUCUUUAAUUUUAUGUAAUUCUCAAAUAUAUUAGUAUUAUAUAUUAAUAUUUAUAUAAAUUUUUAAACACACUUAUAGAUCACUUAAAUGUGAGACAUUUUAGUCCAUUACAAAAUAUAGUUUCGAAUCAUAAUUUCACUUAUUUAAGUUAUUAAUUGUGAAUCUAUACUAUACUAUAAAAAGCCAACAUAGGUAUAAUUUGUAGUCGUAGAAAAUUUUGGUUUGGUACUCUACUCUAAAACUAAAAGUCUACAAGUAGAUAUCUAUUAAACAGUUUCAUAUACUAAAAACACUCCUUAUGUAUAUUAAUAUCUUUUUAAAUAUAAUUUAUACUUAGUUAAAAAAAAGGUGAAACUACUGUUAAUAACAUAUAUUAAUAUUAAAAAUUACUUAUAGAUAAACGUAUAACUAAUUAUAAAUAUACAAUUUUGAAUUUCUUUUGUCUAAAAUACAUAUAAAUAAUUAAACGCUACUUUUUAAUUAUAACGUAUUCUACUCGAAAUUUAACACUUACGUAUUCUAUUUCAUUACAAACACGAGCCAUUACGUAACAUAUGAAGAUAUAUGAAAUAUGAAAAUUUUGAUUUAAAUUGAAUAAUAAACUGUCACAUAUUAAUAUAGAAAAAUAUUUAUAGAUAGAUAAUAAAUUGUGAAAGCUAAAUUUCCGUUAGAAAAAGUAGAACAACCACAGCAGACUGUGCAACCGGUCACUAAUACCGCAACGAGUUGGUUAAUAUAAUUUAACUAAAAUCCAAUUCAUUAAUACUAAAAUACUAAUAAAAUGGUGUUAAGAAUUAAAUUAUAAUUAAUAAAUUACGAAUCAUAUACCCGCCCGUGCUUUGCACGGGGUUAAAGGCUAGUAAGUUAUAAUAAUAGAAGUUUGUUCAAAUCUUUUUGUUCAUUCCUAAAUUAUAUUUUUAAUAUAAUCCUAAGAAAUAAAUAAAUAAAAUUUAUAACAAAAUGAGAGACAAAGCAAACCAAAAACUUAUAUAAUAUAAAUAUUAAUCUAAUCUAAUAUUAUUAUCAACUUUUUCAAUUUAAUUCGUAAAUAUCAAAUAAUUAUAUUACAAAACUAUGAAACCGUACCAACUUAUAAGUUAAGUUAUCCAAACACUUAAAAAUUUAUAAGUCAUGGUAUCCAAACACUUAUAAUAACUUAUAAGUUCAACUCAGCUUCUUAUUUAUAAUCAACUUCUUUACUUUAAGCAAUAAGUGACUUCUUUUAAGUCAAGCCAAACGGCCCCUAAAUAUAUAUGGUUAAUUUAUCAUUUUAAAGUAGACUUCAUUAGAAAGUAGUGUAGGUGCAUUCUGCAGGAUAGCUAGACAUAUCACGCCAAGACUAGCAUCUGUUUUUGUUCCUUGUCAUUUUUGACUCUUACUGGUUACUCCCUCCGUUUCUUUUUUCUUUUCCUGUUUCUGAUGUCGGUACUAUUCAUAACAUGAGAUAAAUUACUUAUUUACAUCUAAUCUACAAAACUAAAGAUAGUCAUUAGUGAUCUUGUUAGAUUCGUAUUCACGAGUACUUUAAUACGGUGAAGUUUUUAUAUUUAAUGCUACUACGAAAUGAAAGAUAUUAACGAUCAAAAAUGUGUGUUGGCAAACGUGAAAAGUACAAACAGGAAAAGUAUUUAGAGACGGGAGUACUGUUAUGAUGUUUGGGUCUAUUUUAAUUUAAUAGAAUCUAUAUUUUUUUAAAGCAAUCUAAGAUUAAUGGAAGAUAACAAAAUGUGAUAGAAGAAAACCAGAGAUUAGGAUGUUAAUUGAUAUUUUUUUAAAAUUUUAAAUAAAAAUAUUUAUGUUAUAUUUUUAUCUAGAAAAAGGUUUACAAAAAUAUUAAUUUCUACAAUAUAGUCAAAACAUCUAAAUUUAGGUGUAAAAAAAUUAAACAAAUUAAUUUUUGUUAUAUAAUCAAAAUAACUAAAAUUAGGUUUUAAAAAUUUAAACGACUAUAUAAUGAUAAAAGAGAGUACUCCAUGUAGAGCUUGAUUUCCCGGCGCAGCUUGCAUAAUACUCUCUAGUCUCUUCCCUGUCCCCACCUAGGUUAUUAAUUUUUUACCGGUGUAAUCCUCUGUAUCUGUCACUCUGCACCAAAAUUUUCAAUUGAACUAUCGAGUCAAAAAUUUUCAUUUAAAUAAUAAAGCAUCUUAGAACUUUUAAUCAUAAGAUUAAGCAUAAAAAGAUUUCAGCACCGUUAAAUUUGUCUUUGACUUUAAUGAUUACCGUUAACUUUAACGGAAUCGUAUGUUUUUAUAUGUACCGGGCUGAUUGGAUUAUGUUGAUGGUUUGGAUGGAAAAAAAACAGAGUUAGGUGGCGAUUGAUGAUUCGGAGGAGCGGCAAUGGUGAAGGCUGCUAGUUUUCUGUUAAUAAUGAUGGUUUUCAGUAGGUAAACGAUGCAUGGUUUAUUGCAUUUCUAGCUCUAUGGCUAUCCUCACUUCUGCAACACAUGUACGAGGUUUUCAGCAGUGGAGGCACACUAAGAACAUGGUGGAAUGAGCAAAGAAUCUGGGUAAUAAAAGUAGUGGCUGGAAGCUUAUUCGGAUGCAUCGACUGCAUAAUGAAGAAGAUUGGCAAUUCAAAAACCGUCUUCAGGCUGACAAACAAAGCAAUCGCGAAAGAGAAAGUUGAGAAUUAUGAGAAGGGGAAAUUCGACUUUGAGGGUGCUCAAGUGUUCAUGGUUCCUAUGGUAGGACUGGUCAUUUGGAACUUGGUUUGUUUGAUAGGGGGCUUAUGGAGCAUCCUCGACAAGGGAAAUGUAAGUGAAAUGUUUGGACAACUUUUACUCUCAACUUUUCUUUUGCUUGUUAGUUAUCCUAUUAUUGAAGGAAUUGUUACUAGGAAAGG
rnacentral:lncRNA from 1 species